rnacentral:rRNA from 1 species
GACGAGCGCUGGCGGCGUGCCUAAUACAUGCAAGUUGAGCGCUGAAGGUUGGUACUUGUACCAACUGGAUGAGCAGCGAACGGGUGAGUAACGCGUGGGGAAUCUGCCUUUGAGCGGGGGACAACAUUUGGAAACGAAUGCUAAUACCGCAUAAAAACUUUAAACACAAGUUUUAAGUUUGAAAGAUGCAAUUGCAUCACUCAAAGAUGAUCCCGCGUUGUAUUAGCUAGUUGGUGAGGUAAAGGCUCACCAAGGCGAUGAUACAUAGCCGACCUGAGAGGGUGAUCGGCCACAUUGGGACUGAGACACGGCCCAAACUCCUACGGGAGGCAGCAGUAGGGAAUCUUCGGCAAUGGACGAAAGUCUGACCGAGCAACGCCGCGUGAGUGAAGAAGGUUUUCGGAUCGUAAAACUCGGUUGGUAGAGAAGAACGUUGGUGAGAGUGGAAAGCUCAUCAAGUGACGGUAACUACCCAGAAAGGGACGGCUAACUACGUG